rnacentral:rRNA from 1 species
CGGACGAACCUCUGGUAUGGCAGUUGUACCGCCAGGUGCACCGCUGCUUCGCUACGUUCGGAAGAGAUAACCGCUGAAAGCAUCUAAGCGGGAAGCUCGCUUCGAGAUGAGAUUUCCACGCACCUAGUGUGUGAGAGGCCCCCAGCUAGACCACUGGGUUGAUAGGCCGGAGGUGGAAGCACGAACCAACGACGUGUGCAGCCGACCGGUACUAAUAAGCCGACAACUUACACCACACCCC